CCUACGGGUGGCAGCAGUGGGGAAUAUUGGGCAAUGGGCGCAAGCCUGACCCAGCAACGCCGCGUGAAGGAAGAAGGCUUUCGGGUUGUAAACUGCUUUUAUAAGCGAGAAAUAUGAUGGUAACUUAUGAAUAAGGAUCGGCUAACUACGUGCCAGCAGCCGCGGUCAUACGUAGGAUCCGAGCAUUAUCCGGAGUGACUGGGUGUAAAGAGUUGCGUAGGUGGCAUAAUAAGUAGCUAGUGAAAUCUGGUGGCUCAACCAUUCAGACUAUUAGCUAAACUGUUAAGCUCGAGACCGUUAGGGGUAACUGGAAUUUCUAGUGUAGGAGUGAAAUCCGUAGAUAUUAGAAAGAACACCAAUAGCGUAGGCAGGUUACUGGGACGGUUCUGACACUAAGGCACGAAAGCGUAGGGAGCAAACGGGAUUAGAUACCCGUGUAGUC
rnacentral:rRNA from 1 species